CCUACGGGAGACUGCAGUAGGGAAUCUUCCACAAUGGGGGAAACUCUGAUGCAGCAACGCCGCGUGGAGGAUGAAGGUUUUCGGCUCGUAAACUCCUGUUGUUAGAGAAGAUAAUUACGGUUUCUAACUAAUCUUCAUUGGCCAACUCUGUCUCAGCAGCCGCGGUAUUACGGAGGGCGCAAGCGUUCCUCGGAAUCACUGGGCGUAAAGUGCGCGGAGGCGGGAUAGCAAGUCAGAUGUGAAAUCCUAUGGCUUAACCAGAGAACUGCAUCUGAAACUGUUCUACUAGAGUGCGGAAGAGGAGAGUGGAAUUCUAUGUGUAGGGGUAGAAUCCGUAGAGAUAUGGAAGAAUACUCGUUGCGAAGGCGACCUGCUAGAACGUAACUGACGCUGAGGCGCGAAAGCAUGGGGAGCGAACAGGAUUAGAUACCCUGGUAGUC
rnacentral:rRNA from 1 species